rnacentral:rRNA from 1 species
GAUGAACGCUGGCGGCGUGCUUAACACAUGCCAGUCGAACGAUGAAGCCCAGCUUGCUGGGUGGAUUAGUGGCGAACGGGUGAGUAACACGUGAGUAACCUGCCCUUGACCCUGGGAUAAGCCUGGUAAACUGGGUCUAAUACUGGAUAUGACUUCUCAUCGCAUGGUGGGGGGUGGAAAGAUUUAUUGGUCUUGGAUGGACUCGCGGCCUAUCAGCUUGUUGGUGAGGUAAUGGCUCACCAAGGCGACGACGGGUAGCCGGCCUGAGAGGGUGACCGGCCACACUGGGACUGAGACACGGCCCAGACUCCUACGGGAGGCAGCAGUGGGGAAUAUUGCACAAUGGGCGCAAGCCUGAUGCAGCGACGCCGCGUGAGGGAUGACGGCCUUCGGGUUGUAAACCUCUUUCAGUAGGGAAGAAGCGAGAGUGACGGUACCUGCAGAAGAAGCGCCGGCUAACUACGUG